CCUACGGGAGGCAGCAGUGGGGAAUUUUGCGCAAUGGGGGCAACCCUGACGCAGCAACGCCGCGUGAGUGAUGAAGGCUUUCGGGUCGUAAAGCUCUGUCGAGAGGGAAGAAGUGAAUGGUGGUUAAUACCCAUUAUUCUUGACGGUACCUCUGAAGGAAGCACCGGCUAACUCCGUGCCAGCAGCCGCGGUAAUACGGAGGGUGCAAGCGUUGUUCGGAUUUAUUGGGCGUAAAGCGCGUGUAGGCGGUUUGUUAAGUCUGAUGUGAAAGCCCCGGGCUCAACCUGGGAAGUGCAUUGGAAACUGGCAGACUUGAAUACGGGAGAGGGUAGUGGAAUUCCUAGUGUAGGAGUGAAAUCCGUAGAUAUUAGGAGGAACACCGGUGGCGAAGGCGGCUACCUGGACCGAUAUUGACGCUGAGACGCGAAAGCGUGGGGAGCAAACAGGAUUAGAUACCCUGGUAGUCCACGCCGUAAACGAUGAGUACUAGGUGUUGCGGGUAUUGACCCCUGCAGUGCCGCAGCUAACGCAUUAAGUACUCCGCC
rnacentral:rRNA from 1 species